ensembl:lncRNA
CACUUCCCUCCAACAGGAUACUAAGAUACAAUGUAGGCUACAGUUAUCCAGAGCGACACAUCUUUGCUUCAUGUGAGAUUAAAACGAAGAUGGUGUUAAGAUAUCCCCCAAAAGGAAUAUGCUUGCCUUAUUUUUUCUGUACGCCCGAAGCCGCGUAAAGAAACAAGGAGUUCCCAGCUAAAUCAUAGCGACCUGUGGGCUGAUCAUAUGGAGUUACGGCAGGGCUACAACCGGAUUUCUGAGAAGGCAGGUUGUGAAAAACCCUCGAGUGACUGCAAAAGACCUGCAGUGGGACUUGGUGGCAACAGACACUGAGGUUUCAGUGAGCACAGUAAGACGCGUACUAAACGCAGAAGGUUUCCAUGCCAGAACUCCAAGACGUACGCCAUUACUGACUCAAAAGCACAAGAAAAGUCUCAAAAUCAUAUAAAUAAACCACAGAAGUUUUGGGAUUCUGUUCUGUGGAGCGAUGAAAUUAAUUGAAACUUUUCGGCACGAUGUAUCAGCGGUAUGUCUGGAGGAAGAAUAAUAAAGAAAGAACACUCUGUCCACAG